CACUGGGGACAAACAAAAGUAGCGUCGUCUCCACCGAACCAGUUGUCAGUGGCAACAUAUAGGAAUCGUGUACAUUUCUUCGUUUCUUCUUUGCUGUUUUCAGUGAGUGUUUUGUUUUCUCUUUGUCCUUGAUCUCGACGGCGUUGUCGUGCUUUAUUACCUUACUGAGACAUCUCUUGUGACUGUAGCCAGUGUCACGGAGGAUUUUAUAGGCGUGACGAGGUAGAUCGCCGAGAUCGAGCGUGAAAAACGCUCUGCAUUAGUAGCUCCUGUAGAAUGUCUUCUGGGAUGGCGUAUCCAUGGUCAACAAAGCCAAGGUGCAAGACAGCAUAAGAGAUCGUGUAAACGAUGUGAACUCCAAAAGAUAAUCUGGACAAAUAAAUUAUAUUGUAACUGGAGAGUGCAGUCGUGCUUGGGGCCCAUCCCAAUGUCAUCACAUGGCUGUGGUGACUAGUGUAUACCUGGGAGAAGUUUCCUCAACUGAGACGGAGUGUAGAUGGAUGGAUUAUGAGAAAUGCGAAGAUGUGGAGUUCAAGGCUAGAUGCACUUCACAUUCGGCGUGGGAUCUCGGCGUCUGGGACCUGAUAACGUCUUGGUUGGAUGGGUGAUCAAGGAUGAUACUACUCGGCACACCAAUGUACAUGUCAAUGUAGUUUUUACUUUUUCAGAGCUGCACUAUUUACGUCUUGAUGCUUACUUCGGUGCUAGUGUCGUGUCCGUGUGUUGCUACAAUGUCAUUAUCUGUAUUGUAUUCCGUCUGCUUAUACAUGUGUCUUUAUGAAGUGUUUGCCGUGGCGGCGAUGUGUCUUGUCGAUCAAUAGUGUUGUGAAACCUAUCACUAUUCUUGCUUUGCUGGCUACUCGCUCGCUCCGCGCCGUGCACGCUACUAGGUCUUGUAGUAUAUAGCUCGAUGCUUUGCAUCGAUCGCUGGUUGUUGUUCUUGUUGCUUCUCUGUUGUUUGAGCUUGGUCCUAGAGUGAAGCUUUG